rnacentral:rRNA from 1 species
ACAAUGGGGGAAACUCUGAUGCAGCGAUGCCGCGUGAGUGAAGAAGGCCUUUGGGUUGUAAAGCUCUUUCGUCGGGGAAGAAAAUGACUGUACCCGAAUAAGAAGGUCCGGCUAACUUCGUGCCAGCAGCCGCGGUAAUACGAAGGGACCUAGCGUAGUUCGGAAUUACUGGGCUUAAAGAGUUCGUAGGUGGUUGAAAAAGUUGGUGGUGAAAUCCCAGAGCUUAACUCUGGAACUGCCAUCAAAACUUUUUAGCUAGAGUAUGAUAGAGGAAAGUAGAAUUUCUAGUGUAGAGGUGAAAUUCGUAGAUAUUAGAAAGAAUACCAAUUGCGAAGGCAGCUUUCUGGAUCAUUACUGACACUGAGGAACGAAAGCAUGGGUAGCGAAGAGGAUUAGAUACCCUCGUAGUCCAUGCCGUAAACGAUGUGUGCUAGACGUUGGAAAUUUAUUUUCAGUGUCGCAGCGAAAAC